rnacentral:rRNA from 1 species
AGAGUUUGAUCCUGGCUCAGGAUGAACGCUGGCGGCGUGCUUAACACAUGCAAGUCGAGCGAUGAAGUUUCCUUCGGGAAACAGAUUAGCGGCGGACGGGUGAGUAACACGUGGGUAACCUGCCUCAUAGAGUGGAAUAGCCUUCCGAAAGGAAGAUUAAUACCGCAUAACGUUGAAAGAUGGCAUCAUCAUUCAACCAAAGGAGCAAUCCGCUAUGAGAUGGACCCGCGGCGCAUUAGCUAGUUGGUGGGGUAACGGCCUACCAAGGCGACGAUGCGUAGCCGACCUGAGAGGGUGAUCGGCCACAUUGGGACUGAGACACGGCCCAGACUCCUACGGGAGGCAGCAGUGGGGAAUAUUGUACAAUGGGCGCAAGCCUGAUGCAGCAACGCCGCGUGAGCGAUGAAGGCCUUCGGAUCGUAAAGCUCUGUUGCGAGGGAAAAAGGAAGAGAAGAGGGAAUGAUUCUCUUUUGAUGGUACCUCGCCAGAAAGUCACGGCUAACUACGUGCCAGCAGCCGCGGUAAUACGUAGGUGGCGAGCGUUAUCCGGAAUGAUUGGGCGUAAAGGGUGCGCAGGCGGCAUAUCAAGUCUGAAGUGAAAGGUACGGGCUCAACCUGUACAGGCUUUGGAAACUGGUAUGCUCGAGGACAGGAGAGGGCGGUGGAACUCCACGUGUAGCGGUAAAAUGCGUAGAGAUGUGGAAGAACACCAGUGGCGAAGGCGGCCGCCUGGCCUGUAACUGACGCUCAGGCACGAAAGCGUGGGGAGCAAAUAGGAUUAGAUACCCUAGUAGUCCACGCCCUAAACGAUGAGGAGCAGGUGUCGGGGGUAGUACCUCGGUGCCGAAGCUAACGCAAUGACUCCUCCGCCUGGGGAGUAUGCACGCAAGUGUGAAACUCAAAGGAAUUGACGGGGGCCCGCACAAGCGGUGGAGUAUGUGGUUUAAUUCGAAGCAACGCGAAGAACCUUACCAGGCCUUGACAUCCCGAGCAAAGACAUAGAGAUAUGUUAGAGGUUAUCUCGGUGACAGGUGGUGCAUGGUUGUCGUCAGCUCGUGUCGUGAGAUGUUGGGUUAAGUCCCGCAACGAGCGCAACCCUUACGGUUAGUUGCUACGCAAGAGCACUCUAGCCGGACUGCCGUUGACAAAACGGAGGAAGGUGGGGACGACGUCAAAUCAUCAUGCCCCUUAUGACUUGGGCUACACACGUACUACAAUGGCAGUCAUACAGAGGGAAGCAAUACCGCGAGGUGGAGCAAAUCCCUAAAAGCUGUCCCAGUUCAGAUUGCAGGCUGCAACUCGCCUGCAUGAAGUCGGAAUUGCUAGUAAUCGCAGAUCAGCAUGCUGCGGUGAAUACGUUCCCGGGCCUUGCACACACCGCCCGUCAA